AAUCUCAAACUCACAAAAAAAUGUUGAUAUGCUAUGUCAAUCAACAGAAUACAAAGAAACAUGUCACAAAAGUCUUGAAAACGCGUCAUCAACCGACACGAAAGAGCUUAUCAAAGCAGCUUUCAGUGCAACAGCAGAGGAAUUACGGAAACACAUAAACAAUUCAGCACUUUAUCAAGAAUUGGGAAAAGACAGCAUGACAAAACAAGCAAUGGAAAUUUGCAACGAAGUUUUGGAUUAUGCCGUUGAUGGAAUUCAUAAAUCUGUUGGUACAUUGGACCAAUUUGAUUUCCAUAAGCUAAGUGAAUAUGCUUUUGAUAUCAAGGUUUGGUUAACUGGUACACUUUCUCAUCAACAAACAUGUUUAGAUGGUUUUGUAAAUACAACAACAAAAGCUGGUGAAACAAUGACUAAGGUUUUGAAAACUUCUAUGGAAUUAAGUAGUAAUGCCAUUGACAUGAUGGAUGUUGUUUCGCACUUCUUUAAGGGUUUCGAUCCAUCCCAAUAUGGUGUUAGUAGGAGGCUUUUAUCUGAUGAUGGUAUUCCUUCAUGGGUUAGUGACGGGCAUAGACAUCUUCUUGCUGGUGGAAAUGUUAAAGCUGAUGCUGUUGUGGCUCAAGAUGGGAGUGGACAGUUUAAGACAUUAACUGAUGCUCUUAAGACUGUUCCUCCUCAAAAUGCAGUACCUUUUGUGAUCCAUGUUAAGGCUGGUGUUUAUAAAGAGACUGUUAAUGUUGCUAAGGAAAUGAAUUAUGUUACUGUCAUUGGCGAUGGUCCUACCAAGACCAAAUUCACUGGUAGCCUCAACUAUGCUGAUGGUAUCAACACUUACAANNNNNNNNNNNNNNNNNNNNNNNNNNNNNNNNNNNNNNNNNNNNNNNNNNNNNNNNNNNNNNNNNNNNNNNNNNNNNNNNNNNNNNNNNNNNNNNNNNNNNNNNNNNNNNNNNNNNNNNNNNNNNNNNNNNNNNNNNNNNNNNNNNNNNNNNNNNNNNNNNNNNNNNNNNNNNNNNNNNNNNNNNNNNNNNNNNNNNNNNNNNNNNNNNNNNNNNNNNNNNNNNNNNNNNNNNNNNNNNNNNNNNNNNNNNNNNNNNNNNNNNNNNNNNNNNNNNNNNNNNNNNNNNNNNNNNNNNNNNNNNNNNNNNNNNNNNNNNNNNNNNNNNNNNNNNNNNNNNNNNNNNNNNNNNNNNNNNNNNNNNNNNNNNNNNNNNNNNNNNNNNNNNNNNNNNNNNNNNNNNNNNNNNNNNNNNNNNNNNNNNNNNNNNNNNNNNNNNNNNNNNNNNNNNNNNNNNNNNNNNNNNNNNNNNNNNNNNNNNNNNNNNNNNNNNNNNNNNNNNNNNNNNNNNNNNNNNNNNNNNNNNNNNNNNNNNNNNNNNNNNNNNNNNNNNNNNNNNNNNNNNNNNNNNNNNNNNNNNNNNNNNNNNNNNNNNNNNNNNNNNNNNNNNNNNNNNNNNNNNNNNNNNNNNNNNNNNNNNNNNNNNNNNNNNNNNNNNNNNNNNNNNNNNNNNNNNNNNNNNNNNNNNNNNNNNNNNNNNNNNNNNNNNNNNNNNNNNNNNNNNNNNNNNNNNNNNNNNNNNGUGCUUUUAAGGAUACAUGUACUUUUUAUGAGUACAAUAAUAAAGGUCCUGGUGCUGACACAAAUUUAAGAGUUAAAUGGCAUGGUGUUAAGGUUUUAACUUCAAAUGUAGCAGCUGAAUAUUACCCUGGUAAAUUCUUUGAGAUUGUUAAUGCAACUGCACGUGAUACUUGGAUUGUGAAGUCUGGUGUUCCUUAUUCACUUGGACCUAUGUAAUCCGGCAGCUUUUUUCCUGUGGUCAUGGAUUUAGAUCAAAGUUAAAGUUUAGUACUCAUAUAUAACUUUGUUCAACAACACCAUGAGUGUAUACAUGAGAUUUUUUCUCUUAUAUAAUUAAUUUAUCAAUUAAUUAAUUUUAUGUGUUGGUGAUGAUUUGAUAUUGGACUAUGUUUGUUUAAUUUUUUUUUUUUUGAGGCAAUGUUUGUUUAAUUAGAAAUGGAAAAAUAAGAUGCAAGAUAAAUUAUUAAACUAACCAACUGAUCCACAUGUAAACUAAAAUGAGGAUUAUUGUUUAAAACAAAAAGGAUUAUUGUUUCAAAAUAAGUUAAACUUCCUAUUUUAUUUCACUUUUUUAACUCAACAAUUAUAAUUAAGCAACAAGAACUCAACAAAUAAUAAUAUGAAUUGCAACAACAAAAAAUUAAACAAUAUUGCCACAAAAUAAUAGUAUAGUCGUUUUUUAUUAACAGGAACAUUUUUUUGAUGAAAAAUAAUAGUAUAAAAAAAAACAUGCCAAAUAUCCUUUCAAAAAAUAUUGUCCCAAACACGUAUAAUAAUCAAAUGGUAAUUAGCCUUCACCAAAAAAAAAAAAAUCAAAUGGUAAUUAGAGUAAUUAGUUUAAUUCUUCAAAAAAAAAAUUAUUAAUAGAAAAAAAUAAAAUCAAUUAACAAACAACUUUUUGACAUUUUUUAAUUUUUUUUUGUUUACUACAAAUAUUAGAUUUUUUAGAUGAGGACAUUUUUAUCAACUUAUAAAAUCAUUCAACUUCUUUCUUUUCUAUUUCUAUUCUAUCUCUCUUAUACCAAAUAACAAAUGAAAUCUAUUUUAUUUCUCUCAUAUUUUUCUCUUCUCAUACUCUCUCUCAUCUAUUUCUCUCUUCACAAUUUCUCUUCCAAACCAAUAAAAAUAAUAUCAAUUUUGACAGCAAAUACUUACAAGCGUCGUGAGAGCAUCAUCACGUAACCAUCAAGAAAAUUAUUUUGACAAUAAUUUAAACAAUAAUGGUUGAAAGUAGUGGUUAACGAAGGUGGGGGUAGAGUGUUAUCAGGUUGGUGAUCGAUGAUGGCCAAAGUUAUUCAUGCGGGUAAUUUUGUUUUUUCCAAAAUAUUUUUCUUUCUUUUGGUGAAUGAAACUUACUUAUAGAAAUAACAAUGGUUUCAACCUUCCUGUGCAAUAUUUUUUUCUAGCUUCAUUAAUUGGUGAUCGAUGAUGGUCAAGGUCGUUGCAAUGGUAGUCACGAUGAUCGAAUUCAUGAUCUCAAUGAUAGUUAGUAGUGAUCGAUGAUGAUCAAAGAUGGUUAGUAGUGUAUGAUGAGUUUAGGUUUGCUUCAUUUAAGUUAAGUUACAUUUAUUUCAUUUAGGAUUUUGAUGUAAGAAAUAAGGCAAAAAAAUACUCCUAUCUAACGAUUGAGAUUUUAAAUUAAAAAAUAAAUAUUUGUUUAAUAAAAAUACAUAAUAAUAACAAACAAAUUAUGUUCUCUUCUUCUCUCCUAUCGCAACAACAUUUCAUUGUUUUUUAAUUUAAAAUCUCAAUCGUUAGAUAUUUUUUUGCCAUAUGUCUGACAUUCAAACCUUAAAUAGAGCGUAGCCUAAAUGGAGCAUAUCCGAACUCGUAUGUGACGGUGACAUCUUAUUAGUGUUAAAACAUAAAAGGAAUAUAAAACUUAGUUUUAUGAUUUUUUAUUUUAUUUAUUUUUUCCUUCAAAAAAAAAUGAUUUUUUAUUUUAUUUUUCAUUUUUGUCAUGAACCAUGGAAGGGGAUAUUAAAUAAAAAAACAAGACCACAACAUAAGUGUGUAGGCCAUACCUAGGGUUUUCAUUUUUGAUUGAGGAGCGGGAAAAACAUAUCCAAAACUUUUCAAUUUCUCACUUUCUCUCUCUUCUUUCUCACCUUCUCUCUUCACUCGAUCCACACACUCUCUCUCUAAGCUUCAAACUUUUCACUAACCCAUUUUCCGUUUUUCAGUGAAUUUCAAAACCCUAGUUUUUGUUUUUUGUAAUCUUCAACCAUAUGCAAGAACGUUGAAACCCUAGUUUUUUACCCAUUUUUACUGGGUUUUUGAAUUUGAUGAAAUUACUAUGAUUUUUGUGGUGAAUUUGUCAAUUGAAGAUGACUAAAGACGCCCCAGAAUCAAGUGGAGGUGCAUUCCAUGCGGUUCAUGCAGAACGUGACUUACAAUCCAAUUGGGAAGUUGACCUAGCCAAGAAACUUGAAGAGUAUUUGUUGAAAAUAUGUUCUGGUGAAAUCACUGGUGAAGAACAUGUGAAUUUUGCUGAAGGUUUGGUUUUUUUGAUUCAUUUUGUUUUUAAAGUUUGUAAAUUUAAUUAUUUGAAAUUGUGUGAAUUUUUUGAUUUAUGUGUUUAACUGAAUAAGCUGUUUCUGGGUAAUUUGUAGCUGCUUUGCUGCUUCAGGGUUCGAUACAGGUGUAUAGUCGAAAAGUUGAAUAUCUAUACAACUUGGUAUUGCGUGCUUUGGAGUUCCUUUCUCAGAAAAGGUUUGGUUUUUAAGAUAAAGUUUCAGCAUUUAUUUCCAAUCUGUUUUAAUUGAAUGAAAGGAGGGGAUAGAGUAAAUGGUUGGAAAGUUUGUUUUCGGGGGUGGUGAAGAAAAUCAAAUUAAGUGAUAUAAUGUUAUUGACGGUGGUGAAAGUUAGUUCCAGAUUUACUUUUCUAUCUGGGUGCAAUUUUGAUGUUAGUUGAUGUAUAAGUAUCACACAGAAUCAAGUUAAAAUUACGAAUGAAUGUUCGGUUCAAAUUCAAUUAAUAGCUCAUUGGUCUAUGAGGAAACAAAUUUAUUUUCUGGAAAAUACUUACCUAGAGCGCCUUAGCCACCGUUCAUCCAGUUGUGAUAUCUACAAAAAGUGGGAAAAACUAUAUCCAACCUUGAUUUAAAUGACACUGUUUAGGAUUAAUUACGCGAAGAACUGGCUGUACGGUGCCUUAAGCACUGUUGGUAACUAUUCUUAUUUUUAUUUGUAUUUUUUAAAGCAAUUAGGUAUCAUAUAAAGCAUAGAAAAGUAAGCCUUCAAUUAUUACGGCGAUCUUUCUGAAUAUUUGUUCGGAACAAAUGAUAAAAUUAAACUUUCAAAACCUUGUUGAUGUAAUUUAGUUUUUUCAUUUGGAAAAAUUUGGUUAGAUUUACUGUGUUUCCCUCUUAAUUGUGAAUAAUAAUAUUGAAAGAAAAGAGAGAAUAGAUAUGAAACAGCCAAUAUGAAAUAUAUAGUAAAUAUGAUUGCAAUUUCAUUUAGAAUAUCUACUAUCAACUUUAAACUUGUAAGCAAUGUUCUAGGAUGUUGAUUUCACGUAUGAAGAUUCACUUGUACUGUAGCCUGUUUUAAGGGGACAAUGAUUUUUAUGGCAAAGAUACUCUUUUGUUAGCUAGUACAUUUCUUGUCGCUUGUUUUCUAAAAGCAAGAUUAGUUUUGUCAGUCAUUAUCAGAGUGUAGAAGUGUCAAGUGUAGACUUUAGUUAUAGUUCAGUUCUUGGCAUAAUAUACUGCAAUAGUAGUCUAUUAACAUUUUGUGUUGAUUAUUUUUAGCUUAUCUUGCUCUCUUGCAAUAUAGCUGGUUUACUUAAAAGGUUUAUCUUAGGAGGUGACUGUAAAUAAUCUCUUUGAUAGAACUUGUUAGCCUGCUUGAGAUAUAAACCCAAUAAGGUUAUUGUUACUUUACAUGUCAUUAUAGGGUUUUGGGAGUUGAUCCUUGACGUGGUAUUGGACCAUUACAGCCUUUAUGACCAAUUAUAAAGAGCUCAAUAUUUUUAUCCCCAUUCUAAAUAUAAAAAAGUUGAAUUUCAAUUCAAUGUAGGACCUCUUAAAAUUUGGGUUGGGCCUAACUCAACCCUUUAUAAACCGACUUGUAGAGGGAGUUUUACCCACCACUUACUUAUAAAUACAUUUUCAGACAUAUUUCAUCCAAUGUGGGACUCUUAAAAUACCACCUCAUGCCUAGGACUAGGCAUCUAGAGUGUGAUCCGAUUAACUCGAUAGUGGAUGACCCAAUGGAUCUUGGAUAGGCUUUGAUACCAUAUUUGAGUUGGGCCUAACUCAAUCCCUAACAAAAUCGGCUUGUAAGAUGAGCAGUAUUGCCCACCACUUAUAGACACAUUUUCAGGCCAUAUCACAUCCAAUGUAGGACUCUUAGCAUACCCCCUCUCGUCUAAAAUGGGCAUCUGGAGUGUGAUCCGAUUGACCCAAUAGUGUAUGUCCCAAUGGAUCUUGGAUAGGCUCUGAUACCAUCUUUGAAUUUUUUAACUGGGCCUAACUCAACCCCUUACAAACCCAGCUUGUAAAUUGAGUACUGCCGACCACUUAUAUAAACACAUUUUAAGGCCUUAUCACAUCCAAUGCGAGACUUUUAACACAACCAAAUAUGGGUUUUCUUUACCUAACAGUUAAAGUUUUUUGUGAGAGUUGGUAUCUUACACUUGGUAGAUUUAACUACAUAAUUGAACCAAGUUACAUAAAAUAAGAUGUAAUAAUAUGUUCUAACUGAAUAUAUCAGUAUAUGCAAACUGUAUGUACAGAAUCAUUAAUUCUAGCUAAUGUUUUUUGUGCAGACAGGCAGAUCCUGUAGAUGGGGAAUCAGUCCAACCCGAUGAAGCUGGCCCUUCUGCUGUUGCUGUUGAAGAAAAUGAUCAGUUUUGGGGCUUAGAUGACAUCCCAGGUACCUAUUUUAUGAAACUUAUUUGACUAAACAAUCAAGCCAAAGCCAUUCAUAUAAGGGGGUUAUUAUCAACAUGACUAGUUUUAUUUAGAUAAUUUCGUUGACCGCCUCAGGUUGCCCUAUAUUGGGCUUGGAUCUAAUAUUUUCUAAUUUAUAAUUAGUAUGAUUAUUUAGCCUUAUUUAGUAGGAUAAGGCUUGGGGGUGGUGGUUGUUGAUGUUGUUGUAUUUAGCCUUAUUUGGUUUUGAAUUUCAAGUACAAUUUUUUUAAUUACAAGUACAACAAAUUCAAUCACGGAAGGUUAGGAUUAUUUGGUUGUUUAGGCUUAUUUCGUUUUGUCUCAUACGUUCUGUCUUCUCUUUCUCCCAUCAAUCUUUCAUCAAGUGCAUCAAAACCUUCUACAUAAUUGUUACUUUGUUUCACUAUAUAUAGUUGCAAAUGCCAGAUCACCUGAAUUUUUGCUAUAUUACAGUUGAUGAAAAGAAUUCAUUGGACAGUUCAGCAGGAAAAGAUGUGAAUUUGGACCAGUUCAUAAAACCCCCUGCAAAUCUAGUUGUUCUUGAAGGCGACUGCUUGGAUACUGGCGGUGAUGGAGGGGAGUUGGAGUCUUAUCUGGUAUCUUAAUUACUUGCAGCUGUUAACAUCGUGGUGUUUUGUAUAAUUUUAGUGACUAAUGAUAUGAUGAACUGCUGCAGCUGUCCACCACUGACUUGUACCAAGAUUUUAUUUUAUUGGACAUGUCUGAUGCUGUUGCAGUUGAUGAGUUUAUGAAAGGUGGAAAAGCCGGUACAACACGUAAUGGUACUAACAAAGCAACCUCAACCCGUAAAAGCUUUCUUUCUCCUAGACGUUCUGGUGGAAGUGCUCAUAAAUCAGCUGCAAAGAGUCAGCGUGCUAAUUCCAUGUGCUCUCCUAAAAAUUUUAAUUUUGAAGACAAAGAUGCUCGGCCCAAUUCUCCGGCCUCUGCUGGUUUUGAUAACGGUGACUUUGGACCUAAUAUGGAUGAUGGAUUUGAUACACAAAUGGAUGCAGACAAUUCUGAUUUAGAGGAUGAAGAUGAUCCAUGGAAACCAUUGAAUCCUCAUGAACCAGGAAACUUGAAAGUGAAGCCCUUUCGAAAAGGUUUCCAUUCCCCCCCACCCCCUAUUUAAGUAUUUAUCAUUGAUUCGCCUUCCUGUAAUUGUAUAACUUACGAAUGUUGUUUCUUGUUUUUGUUGUGCCUGCAGUGAAAUCUUCAAGAAAGAUUAGAAUCAAUGUGAAACAUCGAGUAUCUAUGAGCACCUUGUUUCCACUUGCAAAAUUGCAUGGUCCUAUCAGUCCAGAGCUCAUGGAAAUGUGGGAGAUGCGACGUUGUGCCCAUCAACGACGAAAGGAUUCUCAAUCCACUCCAACAUUAUAUGAGAAGGUACUUUUUGAUGGAUGAUCUGUUCACCAUUAUUAAUAUACGACUCUUUAGUGUUUAUAAUGAGAUAUGUUAAUUGCAGUUGAGGCAAUCUCUUAUUAAUGAUGGAAAUGAAACCGGUGGAGCGUUUCUUAACACUGAAGAUGACAAUGAUGACAACGAAUGGGAUAAUGGAUAUCCCGAAAUUGAUAUGCCUGGCAAUGACGUCAUGGAUGAAGAUCUACCUCCUUUCAAUAAUGAGGUUGAGAUAAGAGACCAGUUACUUGGCAGUUUAUAUAUUUAAUUGCAUCUUGAAAACCUCUAUUUUAUGCUCAUAAACUUCUCUACUUGAUUUAACAGCAUGAAGUUGAGGAUGUUCAUGCUAAUGCGGAUGAAGCUGUAGAUCUUGAAUUUCCAGAUUCUCAGACAAGUUUGGAAGACCUUUGCCGCUCUCAUCUGGUAAAAAAACCCAUUCUUAGUUGUUUUUGCUUAUGAAUUGUAAAGAUAUGCUAUAUUGGCUUCUGUUUCCCCCCUUCAAUCUCGGUUCACAAUUUAUCUUACUAAACCCUUUUUUCACUGAGACAUUACUGCUAAACCACAUAAAUCAUGUUUCAUUGUAGCCUUGCAGCGUCAUUUUGUAUUGUCUGAUUUCGUUACAUUUUAUAUCUUUUACUCACAUAAAUCAUGUUUCAUGGCCAAUGUUUCUUUCUCUAGAAUGCUCUCUUAGCUAGCAUAGCUGAAACUGAGAAGCAAACGGAAAUGGCUGCUAGGGUUUCAACAUGGAAACAAAGAAUCGAGCACAACUUAGAAGAACAGGUGAAUUCAUCUUUUGGGUGUGUUGUCCUUCUCUCGAUAUUGUUUAGGUCUUUAAAUUGAAUGACUUUUUUGCAUGAUAGGAAUCACAUCCACCGUUUGAUAUCCGAGACUAUGGUGAAAAAAUUAUGGACAAACUAUCCCUUGAAGAAAGCAGCAGCAAUGUCUUGCCAUUUUCUGACUUGGUCAAGGGACAAGUAAAGUACGACGUCUCCCGAAGUUUCUCUUCACUUCUUCAACUGGUAAUUCCCUUAAUAGUGUUGAGUGCGCUUCUCAAACUUUUACUUCAUAUUAUGAUGGUCAAUGAAUUUUUUUCUUCAUGUGAUGUUAUACAAAUUUCCAGGUGAACAAUGGAGAAGUUGAUCUACAAAGACAUGAUGCUCCCGGAGAAUCUUUUUGUUACACAUCUGUUAAUCCUUUUCAUGUUAGGCUCCUAAAGCAUGAUAAGAGACAGGAGGUUGUGAAGCAGUUUGGUAUAUCGAAAAAGAGAGCAAAGUCUCCAACAAAAAAACCGUCUCCAAAUGGCGAGAAAAAAACAAGAAGGGAAAAAUCUCCAACAAAAGAACCAUCUCCAGAGGGUGAGAAAAAAACUAGAAGAGAAAAAUCUCAUUCAAAAAAACCGUCUCAAGAGGGUGAGAAAAAAUCUAGAAGAGAAAAAUCUCCAACAAAAAAACCGUCUCCGGAGGGUGAGAAAAGAACUAGAAGAGAAAAAUCUCCAACAAAAAAACCGUCUGCAGAGGGUGAGAAAAGAACUGGAAGAGAAAAAUCUCCAACAAAAAAACCGUCUCAAGAGGGUGAGAAAAGAACUGGAAGAGAAAAAUCUCCAACAAAAAAACCGUCUCAAGAGGGUGAGAAAAGAACUGGAAGAGAAAAAUCUCCAACAAAAAAAUCGUCUCCAAAGGGUGAGAAAAAAACUAGAAGAGAAAAGUCUCCCAUCAGCUCAUCUUCUAGGGAACAUGGAACAACAGGGUUAACAUCACCCACCAAUUCCAGUUCAUCUUCUAGGAAACAUGGACGAACAGGCUUAACAUCACCUACCAGUUGUAAGUUUUCUGUAAACCUUGGAAAGGCGAGUGCUAUGAAGUUCUCUCCUCAAUCCAAAAGACGGCGUAGAUCUCCAUUAAUCGAGCCAGUUAACGUACAUUCAGCAGGGUGACACUGACAUUUGCAGCAGCUUAUUCCUCUCAGCCUGGAAUGAUUUAAUUCAAGACAUUUGCUGAAUGUCUUACCCCUUAGUUAAGUUUGUGUAUUCAUUAGAUUCCUAGUUCUCACUAAUUAGUAGUUUUUUCAGUUUUCAUCUGUAUCAUUAUUGCUAUUGCCCCAAGUUUAACAUAUUUGAUGUAAUGAUAUCACCAUGUAACACCAUACAUUCUUAUUAAUGUACGUAAUAAUUUCCUUCAUUCUCAAUCUCACAGUGCUGUUAGAGUCAUAUUUUUUUUUUUUUUUUUUGUGUUUUAAAGAAUCGAGCGGCGAAAUUCACACACAUUAAAUGCUGAGAAGUGGAUAAUUGUGGAUUCAAACCUAUUCCCCCUAUUUAAUCUCUAAGCAACCUUUUACCACCUGAGUUGUACUUAUAAUAAGUUGUUAAGUCGUGUUAUUUCAAACCUAAUGGAACAUUUGUUCUCAUGGGGAGAUAAAUAAAUUCUCAUGGUUACCCUUUUCCUUAUAAUUUGAAAUGGACAAAAUACACACAUGCCAUUGGAAUAAAACCAAAAUGUUUAUGUGAAAAGAAAACAAUAAGGUACUUUUGCAUCUACUCUUUUUUUUGGUAUAAAUUGGGUAUCCUCCGCGCGCAACUGCAGUUGUGGGACUCAAAUAAGCGGCAAACUCUCCCUAAAAGUUUUUACACUACUGCAUGCUCAAGGUUGGAUUCGAACAAAGAAUCUUAGGUAAGUUAGAAGAGACUUGUGAUAUCUCAUUUAAGCGAUCUUGGUUUUUUUGCAUCUACUCUCGGGUCACUAUUAUAAAGUAUAAAUAAAUAUUUCUUUUUCAUCUUAAUUGAAUAUUUGAUGUAUCUGAUAUGUCAGUAAAUCUAUGAAUCCUAAAUCAACAUUUUUUCUUUAAUACAGAACGUGGUAUAUUCAACAAUGCAAUUACUAUUGGAAGAAAGUGACUGCACUUUGAUUAGUUGGUGAAGCAAAUUUCAACCAAGUUGCACCAUAUAUAGACCAGUGAACAAUCAGAUAUUUGUUCCAUUUCAUUAUUGUGUUCACCCAAUAGUCUUGAGUCUUGACUCGUGAAUCCACCACUUAAGUAACAUGACACAUGAUUUUAGAAAAACAAACAGUAAAACGUGUGGGGUUACUAAGUGGGGUUAGGGGAACAAAUUUACGCGCUAUUAUUUGGUACUAAUGACAACCUACGAUCAAGGAAAGCAGAUUUUCAUGGUUAAAAUUGUCGGGUUCAGAUUCACUAUUUGGAGCCUUGUCAAUAUCAAAUAAUUUAAAAUUCUUUGACAUUAUUUUGGCAAAUACUACCAAUUUUAUUUUAGUUUUUUAUUAGGAAGAAAAUGGAGUUAGGCCAUUAGGGAUGUUCAUAUUUUGUAUUGUCACUCCAUUGUAUCACUGUGACACCAUUUAUUCUUGAAGCGUUUAAAACAAUUAAGGGUUAAUAGUGCUUUUUAUCCUGUAAUAUAUGUUAUUUUCGGUUUUCGUCCCUAUAAAAUUUUUGGUUUGAUUUGCAUCCUCGUAAAAUAUAUUUUUUUUCGGAAAACAUCCUUAAUAGGCCAUUCAAAAACCAAAAUUUCUUGAAAAAAAAUUCUGAAAAUGGGCUAUUAAAGGUGUUUUCCUGAAAAUAAAAUUUUUACGAGGACACAAAUUAAACCGAAAAUUUUAUAGGGACGAAAACCGGAAAUGACAUAUAUUACAGGAGUGAAAAACACUGUUAACCCAACAAUUAAUACAACCAGGAUAGUUUCUUUUUUUUUUUGAAGGAAACAAGGAUAGUUCAUAGUUGCAUAAUGUAACUGGCUCUGGCUACGGUAGGCGACCUUAAUGGGUCUCCUACCAUAAGAGAUUACAAUUUUUAUUAUUUUUUUUAGUUUGUAAAUUGGUUGUGAGCCAUUGAAUUUAGAAAGAACAUUUUGAAUGGCACAGAUUUCUUGGCAGGUUGACGCACUAGGAUAGUAUAUUUUAAUCUUUAAAGUUGAUAUUUAAUAACUUAAAUGAUUUUUCAAACAAUUUACGUAAAGGGUGUUAUUGUCAACUAUAUACAUCAUUUAAUGAAUGAAUCUAAAAUGUUAGUUUUACUUAUAAUAGUGACCGGAGGGUGUACUCCAAACAUAACCCUAAUUAAUACUACUAAUUAAUACUAGAUGCAUUUAUUAUUAUUUUUUCAAACAUAACCCUAAUUAAUACUACUAAUUUACCUUCUUUUUUUUUUUACGUUUAUUUACCUUGGAAUAUGAAAAAGUCAAAUUUGAAUAUACUACUAAUUUACCUUAUAUCAACGUUUAUUAUUAUUUUUUCAAACAUAACUCCAAUGCCNAAAAAAACCGUCUCAAGAGGGUGAGAAAAGAACUGGAAGAGAAAAAUCUCCAACAAAAAAACCGUCUCAAGAGGGUGAGAAAAGAACUGGAAGAGAAAAAUCUCCAACAAAAAAACCGUCUCAAGAGGGUGAGAAAAGAACUGGAAGAGAAAAAUCUCCAACAAAAAAACCGUCUCAAGAGGGUGAGAAAAGAACUGGAAGAGAAAAAUCUCCAACAAAAAAACCGUCUCAAGAGGGUGAGAAAAGAACUGGAAGAGAAAAAUCUCCAACAAAAAAACCGUCUCAAGAGGGUGAGAAAAGAACUGGAAGAGAAAAAUCUCCAACAAAAAAACCGUCUCAAGAGGGUGAGAAAAGAACUGGAAGAGAAAAAUCUCCAACAAAAAAACCGUCUCAAGAGGGUGAGAAAAGAACUGGAAGAGAAAAAUCUCCAACAAAAAAACCGUCUCAAGAGGGUGAGAAAAGAACUGGAAGAGAAAAAUCUCCAACAAAAAAACCGUCUCAAGAGGGUGAGAAAAGAACUGGAAGAGAAAAAUCUCCAACAAAAAAACCGUCUCAAGAGGGUGAGAAAAGAACUGGAAGAGAAAAAUCUCCAACAAAAAAACCGUCUCAAGAGGGUGAGAAAAGAACUGGAAGAGAAAAAUCUCCAACAAAAAAACCGUCUCAAGAGGGUGAGAAAAGAACUGGAAGAGAAAAAUCUCCAACAAAAAAACCGUCUCAAGAGGGUGAGAAAAGAACUGGAAGAGAAAAAUCUCCAACAAAAAAACCGUCUCAAGAGGGUGAGAAAAGAACUGGAAGAGAAAAAUCUCCAACAAAAAAACCGUCUCAAGAGGGUGAGAAAAGAACUGGAAGAGAAAAAUCUCCAACAAAAAAACCGUCUCAAGAGGGUGAGAAAAGAACUGGAAGAGAAAAAUCUCCAACAAAAAAACCGUCUCAAGAGGGUGAGAAAAGAACUGGAAGAGAAAAAUCUCCAACAAAAAAACCGUCUCAAGAGGGUGAGAAAAGAACUGGAAGAGAAAAAUCUCCAACAAAAAAACCGUCUCAAGAGGGUGAGAAAAGAACUGGAAGAGAAAAAUCUCCAACAAAAAAACCGUCUCAAGAGGGUGAGAAAAGAACUGGAAGAGAAAAAUCUCCAACAAAAAAACCGUCUCAAGAGGGUGAGAAAAGAACUGGAAGAGAAAAAUCUCCAACAAAAAAACCGUCUCAAGAGGGUGAGAAAAGAACUGGAAGAGAAAAAUCUCCAACAAAAAAACCGUCUCAAGAGGGUGAGAAAAGAACUGGAAGAGAAAAAUCUCCAACAAAAAAACCGUCUCAAGAGGGUGAGAAAAGAACUGGAAGAGAAAAAUCUCCAACAAAAAAACCGUCUCAAGAGGGUGAGAAAAGAACUGGAAGAGAAAAAUCUCCAACAAAAAAACCGUCUCAAGAGGGUGAGAAAAGAACUGGAAGAGAAAAAUCUCCAACAAAAAAACCGUCUCAAGAGGGUGAGAAAAGAACUGGAAGAGAAAAAUCUCCAACAAAAAAACCGUCUCAAGAGGGUGAGAAAAGAACUGGAAGAGAAAAAUCUCCAACAAAAAAACCGUCUCAAGAGGGUGAGAAAAGAACUGGAAGAGAAAAAUCUCCAACAAAAAAACCGUCUCAAGAGGGUGAGAAAAGAACUGGAAGAGAAAAAUCUCCAACAAAAAAACCGUCUCAAGAGGGUGAGAAAAGAACUGGAAGAGAAAAAUCUCCAACAAAAAAACCGUCUCAAGAGGGUGAGAAAAGAACUGGAAGAGAAAAAUCUCCAACAAAAAAACCGUCUCAAGAGGGUGAGAAAAGAACUGGAAGAGAAAAAUCUCCAACAAAAAAACCGUCUCAAGAGGGUGAGAAAAGAACUGGAAGAGAAAAAUCUCCAACAAAAAAACCGUCUCAAGAGGGUGAGAAAAGAACUGGAAGAGAAAAAUCUCCAACAAAAAAACCGUCUCAAGAGGGUGAGAAAAGAACUGGAAGAGAAAAAUCUCCAACAAAAAAACCGUCUCAAGAGGGUGAGAAAAGAACUGGAAGAGAAAAAUCUCCAACAAAAAAACCGUCUCAAGAGGGUGAGAAAAGAACUGGAAGAGAAAAAUCUCCAACAAAAAAACCGUCUCAAGAGGGUGAGAAAAGAACUGGAAGAGAAAAAUCUCCAACAAAAAAACCGUCUCAAGAGGGUGAGAAAAGAACUGGAAGAGAAAAAUCUCCAACAAAAAAACCGUCUCAAGAGGGUGAGAAAAGAACUGGAAGAGAAAAAUCUCCAACAAAAAAACCGUCUCAAGAGGGUGAGAAAAGAACUGGAAGAGAAAAAUCUCCAACAAAAAAACCGUCUCAAGAGGGUGAGAAAAGAACUGGAAGAGAAAAAUCUCCAACAAAAAAACCGUCUCAAGAGGGUGAGAAAAGAACUGGAAGAGAAAAAUCUCCAACAAAAAAACCGUCUCAAGAGGGUGAGAAAAGAACUGGAAGAGAAAAAUCUCCAACAAAAAAACCGUCUCAAGAGGGUGAGAAAAGAACUGGAAGAGAAAAAUCUCCAACAAAAAAACCGUCUCAAGAGGGUGAGAAAAGAACUGGAAGAGAAAAAUCUCCAACAAAAAAACCGUCUCAAGAGGGUGAGAAAAGAACUGGAAGAGAAAAAUCUCCAACAAAAAAACCGUCUCAAGAGGGUGAGAAAAGAACUGGAAGAGAAAAAUCUCCAACAAAAAAACCGUCUCAAGAGGGUGAGAAAAGAACUGGAAGAGAAAAAUCUCCAACAAAAAAACCGUCUCAAGAGGGUGAGAAAAGAACUGGAAGAGAAAAAUCUCCAACAAAAAAACCGUCUCAAGAGGGUGAGAAAAGAACUGGAAGAGAAAAAUCUCCAACAAAAAAACCGUCUCAAGAGGGUGAGAAAAGAACUGGAAGAGAAAAAUCUCCAACAAAAAAACCGUCUCAAGAGGGUGAGAAAAGAACUGGAAGAGAAAAAUCUCCAACAAAAAAACCGUCUCAAGAGGGUGAGAAAAGAACUGGAAGAGAAAAAUCUCCAACAAAAAAACCGUCUCAAGAGGGUGAGAAAAGAACUGGAAGAGAAAAAUCUCCAACAAAAAAACCGUCUCAAGAGGGUGAGAAAAGAACUGGAAGAGAAAAAUCUCCAACAAAAAAACCGUCUCAAGAGGGUGAGAAAAGAACUGGAAGAGAAAAAUCUCCAACAAAAAAACCGUCUCAAGAGGGUGAGAAAAGAACUGGAAGAGAAAAAUCUCCAACAAAAAAACCGUCUCAAGAGGGUGAGAAAAGAACUGGAAGAGAAAAAUCUCCAACAAAAAAAUCGUCUCCAAAGGGUGAGAAAAAAACUAGAAGAGAAAAGUCUCCCAUCAGCUCAUCUUCUAGGGAACAUGGAACAACAGGGUUAACAUCACCCACCAAUUCCAGUUCAUCUUCUAGGAAACAUGGACGAACAGGCUUAACAUCACCUACCAGUUGUAAGUUUUCUGUAAACCUUGGAAAGGCGAGUGCUAUGAAGUUCUCUCCUCAAUCCAAAAGACGGCGUAGAUCUCCAUUAAUCGAGCCAGUUAACGUACAUUCAGCAGGGUGACACUGACAUUUGCAGCAGCUUAUUCCUCUCAGCCUGGAAUGAUUUAAUUCAAGACAUUUGCUGAAUGUCUUACCCCUUAGUUAAGUUUGUGUAUUCAUUAGAUUCCUAGUUCUCACUAAUUAGUAGUUUUUUCAGUUUUCAUCUGUAUCAUUAUUGCUAUUGCCCCAAGUUUAACAUAUUUGAUGUAAUGAUAUCACCAUGUAACACCAUACAUUCUUAUUAAUGUACGUAAUAAUUUCCUUCAUUCUCAAUCUCACAGUGCUGUUAGAGUCAUGUUUUUUUUUUUUUUUUUU
rnacentral:lncRNA from 1 species